GCCGCGGUAAGUACGGAGGGUGCGAGCGUUAAUCGGAAGUUACUGGGCGUAAAGACGCAUGCAGGCGGCCGCGUUAAGUACAGGAUGUGAAAGCCCGGGGCUUAACCUCGGAAUUGCAUUUGAAACUGGCAGGCUAGAGUCUUGUAGAGGGGGGUAGGAAUUUCAGGUGUAGCGGUGAAAUGCGUAGAGAUCUGAAGGAAUACCAGUGGCGAAGGCGGCCCCCUGGACAAAGACUGACGCUCAGAUGCGAAAGCGUGGGGAGCAAACAGGAUUAGAUACCCUGGUAG
rnacentral:rRNA from 1 species